rnacentral:rRNA from 1 species
GAUGAACGCUGGCGGCGUGCCUAAUACAUGCAAGUCGAGCGAACAGACGAGGAGCUUGCUCCUCUGACGUUAGCGGCGGACGGGUGAGUAACACGUGGAUAACCUACCUAUAAGACUGGGAUAACUUCGGGAAACCGGAGCUAAUACCGGAUAAUAUAUUGAACCGCAUGGUUCAAUAGUGAAAGACGGUUUUGCUGUCACUUAUAGCUGGAUCCGCGCCGCAUUAGUUAGUUGGUAAGGUAACGGCUUACCAAGGCAACGAUGCGUAACCGACCUGAGCGGGUGAUCGGCCACACGGGAACUGAGACACAGUCCAGACUCCGACGGGAGGCAGCAGUAGGGAAUCUUCCGCAAUGGACGAAAGCCUAACGGAGCAACGCGGCGGGAGUGAUGAAGGUCUUCGGAUCGUAGAGCGCUGUUGUUAGGGGAGAACAAAUGUGUAAGUAACUAUGCACGUCUUGACGGUACCGAAUCAGAAAGCCACGGCUAACUACGUG